rnacentral:rRNA from 1 species
CAAGUCUCCUGGAAGGGAGCAUCGUAGAGGGUGACAAUCCCGUCUCUGACACGGACCGCCGGCGCUAUGUGAUGCGCUCUCGACGAGUCGAGUUGUUUGGGAAUGCAGCUCAAAUAGGGUGGUAAACUCCAUCUAAAGCUAAAUACGGGCGAGAGACCGAUAGCGAACAAGUACCGUGAGGGAAAGAUGAAAAGAACUUUGGAAAGAGAGUUAAACAGUACGUGAAAUUGCUGGAAGGGAAACGCUUGACGUCAGUCGCGUCGUCCGGGGAUCAACCUUGCCCUCUGGCUGGGCGUAUUUCCCGGUCGACGGGUCAGCAUCGAUUUCGACCGUCGUAGAAGGACUGGAGCGAAUGUGGCACUCCACGGAGUGUGUUAUAGCCUCCCGUAUGGAUGCGACGGUCGGGAUCGAGGAACUCGGCACGGCCCCUCGAGGGUUCGGGGCUUCGGUCCACGCAGCGUGCCCAGGAUGCUGGCAUAAUGGCUUUAAGCGACCCGUCUUGAAACACGGACCAAGGAGUCUAACGUGCCUGCGAGUGUUUGGGUGCAAAACCCGAGCGCGAAACGAAAGUGAAAGUCGAGACCUCCGUCGCGGAGGGCACCGACGCCCGGACCGGAGCCUUUGGCGAUGGAUCUGCGGUAGAGCAUGUAUGUUGGGACCCGAAAGAUGGUGAACUAUGCCUGAAUAGGGCGAAGCCAG